rnacentral:rRNA from 1 species
UACGUAGGUGGCGAGCGUUGUCCGGAUUUAUUGGGCGUAAAGCGCGCGCAGGUGGUGCGGUAAGUCUGUCGUGAAAUCUCCUGGCUCAACUGGGAGGGUGCGGUGGAGACUGCCGGACUAGAGGCACUCAGAGGCCGGUGGAAUUCCCGGUGUAGUGGUGAAAUGCGUAGAGAUCGGGAGGAACACCAGUGGCGAAGGCGGCCGGCUGGGGGUGACCUGACGCUGAGGCGCGAAAGCGUGGGGAGCGAACCGG